GAGAAUCGCAAUUUACCAAGGACUUACGAACCGCGGUAUAAUUGUAUUAAUGUAUAUACCAUGUACGGGAAUAUGUCGGACACCUUCUAGGAUUUGCAUAUUUGGAAAAGUCAGAUAUGUCUAUCCAAGAGUAUAUGAUACAUACAGUUUUCAUGUAUAAAAAAACAAACACACCUUCCUAUCAAAUCAUUUAAUAUAUACAAACAAAAAAGGCCAAGUUACAAAUAACAGAAUAAUAAG
rnacentral:lncRNA from 1 species